rnacentral:rRNA from 1 species
CGCGGGAACUGUGGCGUAAGGAAGUCCGGUCCGGCGGUCGCGGCGGCGCCGAGGUCCUUCUGAUCGAGGCCCCCUCCGUCCCGUGGCGGGUGUCAGGCCCCUGCGGGCGCCGCCCGGCGGCCGACCAGGGCUUCCGGGAGUCGGGUUGUUUUGUAGCGCAGCCCAAAGGCGGGUGGUAAACUCCAUCCAAGGCUAAAUACCGGCACGAGACCGAUAGAGCACAAGUACCAUGAGGGAAAGUA